rnacentral:lncRNA from 1 species
CAUAUACUACCGCCAAUAGCAUCGGUGUGAUCGCAUAUUUGACCGGAAUUUCGUAUGAACCAAACACAGCCUUCCUCGGCUACGAAGUUGUUAAAAGAUAGAGACAAAAACAGACAUAAAAAGUACUAAGAGUUGGCAACUGCAUUGUGCAAAUUUGAAUGUGUAGUAGUAAAAGUAUAUUACACAGUUUGUUCUAUCCCAACAUGACAAGACAAAACACAGAUUACAAGAACAAAACAAAAACCUUAGUGAACAAGAAACAAUGUUGCUGCUGCUGCCUUCCAGACAUGUUUUAUAUUCUUCUGAGAUAUUCCCCCGGCCACAAACAAUCGACAAGGAGAACAUCGUUUGCCCAUGAUUAUUCCCCACUCCACAAACAUGCAAGAAUUAAUUUAAAGAAUUAAUGAAGAACCAAGAACACAAGAUAUC